CCUGUGGAGCGUUACAGCAAACGUUAGUAGUCAGUCAGUGAUGGCGACAAAAGCGGACGCGUUGAAGCAGGAA
rnacentral:sRNA from 12 species